UACGGAGGGUGCAAGCGUUAAUCGGAAUUACUGGGCGUAAAGCGUGCGCAGGCGGUUUGUUAAGUCCGCUGUGAAAUCCCCGGGCUUAACCUGGGAAUUGCGUUGGAGACUGCAAGGCUGGAAUCUGGCAGAGGGGGGUAGAAUUCCACGUGUAGCAGUGAAAUGCGUAGAGAUGUGGAGGAACACCGAUGGCGAAGGCAGCCCCCUGGGUCAAGACUGACGCUCAUGCACGAAAGCGUGGGGAGCAAACAGG
rnacentral:rRNA from 1 species